AAUGAACGCUGGCGGCAGGCCUAACACAUGCAAGUCGAACGAGGUAGCAAUACCUAGUGGCGGACGGGUGAGUAACGCGUGGGAACGUGCCCCUUGGUACGGAAUAGCCCUGGGAAACUGGGAGUAAUACCGUAUGUGGUCGAGACGAAAGAUUUAUCGCCAAGGGAUCGGCCCGCGUUGGAUUAGGUAGUUGGUGGGGUAAUGGCCUACCAAGCCGACGAUCCAUAGCUGGUUUGAGAGGAUGAUCAGCCACACUGGGACUGAGACACGGCCCAGACUCCUACGGGAGGCAGCAGUGGGGAAUCUUAGACAAUGGGGGAAACCCUGAUUUAGCCAUGCCGCGUGAUCGAUGAAGGCCUUAGGGUUGUAAAGAUCUUUCAGUGGGGAAGAUAAUGACGGUACCCACAGAAGAAGCCCCGGCUAACUCCGUGCCAGCAGCCGCGGUAA
rnacentral:rRNA from 1 species